GCAGGCUGAAAUUCGCCUGUAUGAAGCCGGAAUUGCUAGUAAUGGCAGGUCAGCAUACUGCCGUGAAUACGUUCCCGGGCCUUGUACACACCGCCCGUCACACCAUGAGAGUUGGGGAUACCCAAAGCCCGUGAGCCAACUUUUAGAGGCAGCGGUCUAAGGUAGAAUCAAUGAUUGGGGUGAAGUCGUAACAAGGUAGC
rnacentral:rRNA from 1 species